UACGGGGGGAGCAAGCGUUGUUCGGAUUUACUGGGCGUAAAGGGCGCGUAGGCGGCGCAACAAGUCACUUGUGAAAUCUCCGGGCUUAACUCGGAGCGGCCAAGUGAUACUGUCGUGCUAGAGUGCGGAAGGGGCUACUGGAAUUCUCGGUGUAGCGGUGAAAUGCGUAGAUAUCGGGAGGAACACCGGUGGCGAAGGCGGUUCUCUGGGCCUUACCUGACGCUGAGGAGCGAAAGCGUGGGGAGCGAACAGG
rnacentral:rRNA from 1 species